rnacentral:tRNA from 1 species
CGGGACAUAGCGCAAUUGGUUAGCGCGCCAGCAUGGGGUGCUGGAGGUUGCGGGUUCGAGUCCCGCUGUCCCGA